CUGAAGCGGCCGCCCCAGCCCAGUCCCGGCGCGACGAUGAGGGGCAUCCCGGGCUUAAAGAGGCUGCGGCUCAAAAUCUGGCGGCGAUGCGCCCUGCUGCUGCUCCUCCUCUGGGCUGCCUGCUGGGUGGUGGUGAGCGCUGCGCUGUUCCUCUUCCACAGGAGCGUCUUCUCCGAGCGCUGCACGGACGAGAAAAGCCACCGGAUCCUAGCCAGGCUGUGUCUUGACUACAGCAGCGGAGCCCUGACUGGUGACCUCUGUGAAGACCUGUGCGUGGCACAGAAGCUGGUGUACAAACACUGCCUUUACUAUGACAGAGGUAAGAAGGUCAUUCAGGCUGAUUGGAGAGGCCAGCCCAUCAUACUGAAAUCCAAAAAAGAAGUCUUUUCCAGCUACCAGCACCUCAGUAUGCUGGAGGAGGUGGAAACACAGGAUAUACCUGAAACUGAGCUUCUGCUGAUGGUAGCUUUGGAGGUCAAAAAUGCCUUGGGGCUAGAACUGUCUAAUAGUACCAUGGGGCCCCUGUGGACAAGGAAAAAGGGACCACAUUGGAAAGCACAGGUGGCCAGCAUGUGGUCCUUGCUCCAGCAGGAAGAAUAUAUCUACUUCAGUUUGCUGCAGGACUUCAGCAAACAUGUGCUACGAAUUAUUGGCUCUUGUGGACACUUUUAUGCUGUGGAGUAUCUCACAGCUGGACAUGCCUGGCACAAAACUCUUUUUCCCUUGGAAAAUGUGAUCAGUCCCUCCCUUACCGGACACAAAAGCAGGGUGAGAGCCAUCACUGACAUUGCACUCAGCUUUCUGGACAUGGUGCAGCAUUUUGAUAAUGAUUUCUCUCACCGACUCCACCUGUGUGACAUCAAACCAGAAAAUUUCGCUAUCAGGCAUGAUCUUACGGUGGUGGCCAUUGAUGUGGAUAUGGCCUUUUUUGAACCCAAAAUGAGGGACAUCCUCGAACAGAAUUGCACAAGAGAUGAAGAUUGUAAUUUUUUUGAUUGCUUUUCAAAAUGUAAUCUGAAAAUAAGAAAAUGUGGAGCACAGAGAGCCAAUAACAACUUGCAAGUAAUCUGUGACAAAAUAUUCCGUCACUGGUUUUCCCCAAAUCUCAGAGGACCGUUGGUUUCCCUUCCCCUGCAGCUGCAGCUGCAGAAAGCUGUGCAGGAGUGUGCUCAGCCGGGGCACAUGGACGCCGCCGGGCACCAGAGGACUCUGAAAUCUCUCUCUGAGUUAUACCACCUGCUUCAGGUCACUCAACAAGAACUGCAAAGGGCAGAGUAGACACAAAAGGCAGGACUGCAAAGGCUACACGCUAGUCUCUCUGCCAUCCCUCCUACCCACUGUACAUUUACAGCACAGAGAUUGCUUUUCUGCUAUGCAAAUGAAAAUUCAUGGCUGCAGGUGCAGCACAUGCUCUUAAUAUCCUAUCAAGUGUGAAAUUGUUUUACAUUACCUGGAUUCUGUUCUUGCUUAUUUUCCUGAGCUAGCACUAUACCUCUCCAUCAGAAUUCAGCACACCAUUCACUUACCAAGAGCUGUAGACACUGCAUCUGUCUGAGAGUGGUGCUCAGAGUGAGGAUGCAUCUACAGAAGAAAAGUGAACAGGGAAGAUUAUUAUGAGAGGAGGCUGAGAGGACUGUGCUUGUUUAGCCUUAAGAAGUGACUGCUAUGUACAGCUAAUGGGAGCAGGUACAGAAGAUGGAGCCAAACUCUCCUUGGAAGUGCCCGAUGGCAGGACGAGAGACAACAGGCACAAGCCAGAACACAGGAAAUUCCAACUCAGUAUUAAGAAAAAGUUUUAUACUGUGAAAAGAGUCAAGCACUGGAACAGAGUUCCAGAGAGUUUGUGGUCUCUGUCCCUGGAGAUAUUCAAGCUUGACAGGACAAGACCCUAAGAAAUCCAGUCUAAUUGGACCACCCUUGAGCAAGAAGUUGGACUAAGUGGCCUCCAUGUCUCAGUGCCAGCAUGGAGCCUUUCAAAAUAUCAACCACAGUUUUAAAAUCAGAAAAGCAUAAUAGCCUUUUUUAACUAUUAUUACCCCAAAUACUCAAAUAUUUCUUUUAACCGUGACUGUUAUUCAUAUGAAGAAAACAAAAGUAUGUAUUUGGCUGCCGUCUAACAAGUGCCCCAUCCAGUUAUUUGCAGGCAUCAUCUACUCUAAGCUAAAACACAGACUUCACACUCUGGCCUAGCCAAAGCCAACUCAGGCUCUCAGGAAGCUGAGGAAUGGGGAGAACAAGAGUUUUGUGACUGAUAAGGCAUGGCAGAGUUGCAUUGCCAACAGUAUGAAUCCUCUGCGAAAUUCCUGGAUCCCAAAAGUUAAUCUCCAUUUGAACUUUGAGGACAAUAUUAUCAUGGUUUAAACAUUUUGUUGUCUCUACCAGGCUAAGUGGAUAAGGCCCUCACUGUGUCAGGUACUGGACAGGACCAGGGUAAUAAACAAUGCCUGAGUUAGCAUUCAUGUUGGGCCUACUCUGUAAAAGACCUUCAAAGGCUAGAGUGGGUAUCAGUAAAAUGUAUGGCCACUGCAAGACCCUGACAUGAGAAAAAAUCAGAAUCAAGCCCAAGAGUUUGAUGUACUUUUUAGUGUGACUUAGAUUCUCCCUCCCAAACAGAACCUCAGUGCUGAGAAAAUCCCAGUGCUCCUCCUUUAUCUUAGGUAUGACUACAAGAUUAAGGACAAAAAGAGACCAGCCAAGUACUAGAGGUAUAAAGAUUUUAAAAAGUAACUGUCAUGUAACUAGCAGAGAAUUAUAAAAUAAAUUCUUCAG